UACGUAGGGGGCAAGCGUUGUCCGGAAUCAUUGGGCGUAAAGCGCGUGUAGGCGGCUGACUAAGUCCGCUCUGAAAGCCCGGGGCUCAACCCCGGGAGGCGGGUGGAUACUGGUCAGCUCGAGUCCGGAAGAGGAGAGUGGAAUUCCUGGUGUAGCGGUGAAAUGCGCAGAUAUCAGGAAGAACACCCGUGGCGAAGGCGGCUCUCUGGGACGGUACUGACGCUGAGACGCGAAAGCGUGGGGAGCGAACAGG
rnacentral:rRNA from 1 species